rnacentral:rRNA from 1 species
UACAGAGGGUGCGAGCGUUAUUCGGAAUUAUUGGGCGUAAAGCGCGUGUAGGCGGUUUGGUAAGUCUGAUGUGAAAUCCCUGGACUUAAUUCAGGAAGUGCAUUGGAUACUGCUAGACUAGAGGAUGGGAGAGGGGGACGGAAUUCCUGGUGUAGAGGUGAAAUUCGUAGAUAUCAGGAGGAACAACAGCGGCGAAGGCGGUUCCCUGGACCAUUACUGACGCUCAGGCGCGAAAGUGUGGGGAGCAAACAGG